GUGAGGAAUAUUGCACAAUGGGCGAAAGCUUGAUGCAGCAACGCCGCGUGGGUGAUGAAGGCCUUCGGGUCGUAAAACCCUUUUGAGGGAGACGAGCAAGGACGGUAUCUCUCGAAUAAGGUUCGGCUAACUACGUGCCAGCAGCCGCGGUAAAACGUAGGAACCGAGCGUUAUCCGGAUUCACUGGGUGUAAAGCGCGUGCAGGUGGCUUCGUAAGUUGGACGUGAAAUCUCCUGGCUUAACUGGGAGAGGCCGUUCAAUACUGCGGGGCUUGAGGGCAGGAGAGGGAGGUGGAAUUCCCGGUGUAGUGGUGAAAUGCGUAGAUAUCGGGAGGAACACCAGUGGCGAAGGCGGCCUCCUGGCCUGCUCCUGACACUAAGACGCGAAAGCUAGGGGAGCGAACGGGAUUAGAUACCCGGGUAGUCC
rnacentral:rRNA from 1 species